AGGGGUAUAGCUCAACUGGUAGAGUAGUGGACUCCAAAUCCAUUGGUUGAGGGUUCAAGUCCUUCUGCCCCUGCCA
rnacentral:tRNA from 1 species